UAUGCACGCUGGCGGCGUGCCUAAUACAUGCAAGUCGAGCGAACAGACGAGGAGCUUGCUCCUCUGACGUUAGCGGCGGACGGGUGAGUAACACGUGGAUAACCUACCUAUAAGACUGGGAUAACUUCGGGAAACCGGAGCUAAUACCGGAUAAUAUAUUGAACCGCAUGGUUCAAUAGUGAAAGACGGUUUUGCUGUCACUUAUAGAUGGAUCCGCGCCGCAUUAGCUAGUUGGUAAGGUAACGGCUUACCAAGGCGACGAUGCGUAGCCGACCUGAGAGGGUGAUCGGCCACACUGGAACUGAGACACGGUCCAGACUCCUACGGGAGGCAGCAGUAGGGAAUCUUCCGCAAUGGGCGAAAGCCUGACGGAGCAACGCCGCGUGAGUGAUGAAGGUCUUCGGAUCGUAAAACUCUGUUAUUAGGGAAGAACAAAUGUGUAAGUAACUAUGCACGUCUUGACGGUACCUAAUCAGAAAGCCACGGCUAACUACGUG
rnacentral:rRNA from 1 species